rnacentral:lncRNA from 1 species
AUCCAAGGGGUUAUAGUGAAUUCCCAAGUGAGACUUGGGGAGUGGACGUAGGAGCAAGGGUUAGCUCCGAACCACUAUAAACAUUGUGUUUGUGAUUGCUUGUGUCUCUCUCUCUCACUCUCAUUUCACUCACAGCACAUAGCAACUAAUUAAUCAUCUUGCAAAAGUAUUAAUUAGUCAUCCUCAAACGUUUUAAUUGCAAAAUUAUUU